ensembl:lncRNA
CAGGAGGGUUGCUGGCCGGUUCGCAGAGCGGGGGCUGGCUUCUGUCGCCUCUCGCCUCGAUAAAACAUUUCUGCAGUAAAUCAUCCAUCCACUGCAAGGACAGCUGUUCUUCUUCAUGAGUUUGUUCAGAGUCUCUACUUUUUUGGAAUGGAUACCAUACAAUAUGUUACCUGCCUCCAAGCGCAGAGGAAGACACCUUUCUUCUAGACCUGAAGAAGGAUGCAGGAAAGCAUAAGGGCCUUAAUGCUGUCCUAUGAUUUUUGUAUUUUGUAGAUACCUGUGCUUAGGGAAGCAAAAGGUACCAAGUUCCCUGAAAACGGAUAAAUUGUUCACAAACUAUAGAGGUGUAUUGAGUAAUUUCAGAUGCUUUACUUUUCAGGCUGCUGAUGGCAUGGUCUAAGUUUUUAGGUGAUAGAAAUACCAGAUUGGAAGGAAUAUUAUGUAUAAGAUAUUUUCACAUAUGCUAAUGUGCAACCAAGUCAAAGCUGAGUAAGACUGCCAAGCAGUCUGAAUUGUACUAAUUCACUGAUCAACAUGGGCUUUCAGUAGCUGGACCUGUUGAGCCACCAUCGGUACUUGGAUUCAGACAUGAAGAAAUGUAGAUAUUUUAGACCUCGUGUUUAUAUUGAAGUAUCUGUUAGAGACCUUAAUCAGGAUUUGGGUGUUUCUCUGCCCUGUUCAGACACUUACCAAAACUACAGUCAUUCACUGAUGAUAAUUUGCUUUGAAAACUCCAAAAGAAAACAAGAUGUAUGGAAUUGUGCACAUGUAGAAGCAUCAAGACAUGUGGCAACACUUUUUAUGCCUUUAUCCAAGUGUUUCAGAAUGAUUUACAAGCAUUAAUUAAUAAUCACUUCGGCAGCGUAAUGCCUUCUGCCCAUCCAGUAAAUAUUACCAAAACAGGGAUCUUUCUUAUCAGAGCGCUGCUAGGAAUAGAGGAUUUCGUCUCUGCCUUUGCUAUUUCCACGCUUACCACUGAAUCAAUAUUGUUUACGCAGAAACAGCAUUAUAGGACUUGCACUGUCUUGUCAGAAAAGAUCAUCCAACUAGAGCUUCCUGAUGCUUUCAGACACUACAUUGUCUCUCAAAGUUUGUUGUGUCACAGGUUCUUAUUAGUAUGAAAUUUAUCAUGUUAAUUUUGGUAUAUAAUACAUACUAAAUUAUAUUUUUCCAAAUAUUGUACUAUAUUUUGUGAUUUAUGUUGCACAGUUCUUUUUUCCAAGUGUCAUGAAAAGUCCAAGAGGAAUUCUUAAAUGUCUAAUCUAUAUUAUGAGAACAAGGUUCUGUCAGGUUUUCAUUCUCAGACUAUGAUAUAAUAAUACUGAUUUAUACACCCCUUCAUAAACAAAUUAUGUUAAUCACAGAAACCAGAGUGUCGCAACAUAAAAAUGUUCUCAUGUUUAUUUUACAUGAAUUCUUAAAAGGUAUGGCAACUAUCAUCUUUUGCUACAGUGUCCUGAAAAUGUUGCAAUGUGUAGGAAAUAACACUAGUUUUUAAAGAAUAUAUCUUUCCUACUUGUUUUGAGAGUACAUCUAUAUGCAUGUGUGUGUAUAAAUAAUAAAAUGGCAC